UUUCAUAAAGUAUUAUAUGCAAAUGAAUUUUAAAAUUAAGGAGAUUAAGCUGUGAGUGAGUUUUGGUUUUCAACAUUUAAAGAAAGAAAGGAUUCAUCUUAAAUAUAAGGCAGUAAGUCUUAUUUAUCAUCAUUUGUGGUUCAUCAGUCAGAAAAGGUCAGAUUAUGUUCCACAGGGACAAAUUUACUCAGGGCCACACUAGUCUCAGAUCAAUCCAUGGAGGGACUGGGUGCACUAAAGCUCACUUCCCCCUGCUUUGUAGGAUCAUCAUUUUCUUCCAACUCAGCUCAGCUGCACAUAACCAGCCUUUCCCUCCAUCUCCCUUAGCUUCCCAGCCUGGCAAGAGGGUGUGGCCAGCAGUGCUCUUUGGGCUAUGUUUCCCCCUUACUGCUUCCAGCACUGCCUACCAAGACAGGAGCAGGUAGCGUAUCCAGAGCUGCUACAGCAGACUGAUUGAGAAUCAUUAGCGAGACAAAAGGGCAGAUGACAGACAUUAAUACAAGGGAAGGAAAAAUUACCUCAUGCCAUGCCCAGGAAGAGUAUAAUUAAGUUGUUUCUAAAUGGGAAAAGAAACCACUUGCAGAAGGGAAGCCUGCUGAUACCAUUCAUUGACUGCCAAGAGAACUGGAACAUCAUCGUGCAUCGCAGCUCCAAGCGCCAAGAUAGCCUUGUUACUUUGCCCAUGGAAGACAAUUACUUUGUCAUGACUGGUCCCCAGGACCACCACAAUACCUGCAGAGAGUCAGUCCUUGCCCUGUAAUGUUCAUUCUUGGUUACAUGGACUAUCAUCUAUGGGCAGAGAGCAGCUUGGUGGGGGUCACCUUGCUCCACAGGCCCUAAUCAGAUUUGUGGCCUCUGUGACUUUCAAACCCCUUGCUCAUUUAUACCUGUGUAUAAAUGUACUGUGUCCCUGGGAUGUGAAUCCUCGCAACACACUUGGGUCACCCUAUGAGAGGGACAACAGCUACCUCAAGGAGAAACAGCUUUGGAGAGAGAGUAUGAGAGAAGAGGUUCCUCUGUCCUAUCAAAGCUGCAAGUAGCUUGAAAAACAGUUCCAGUCUACUGGCAUCCCUGAGGUCUUCUCAAACCUUUUUAGACACCAGGACUGUAAGACAUGUUCUUGCUUUGCAGCCAUGGCAGGCCAGAGCAACCUCAAUGCUAUCAUGAGAAGCUGUUAUCCUUUGAUCUCUUUCCUAUUCAUACUACAGACAGUUUAAUAAUGUGUAAUAUAGUCAUGUAUUAUGUUACAAUUAAUUUUACAUAUAUAAUGUUAUAUAAAGUACAUAUGUAAAGUUACAAUUAUUUAAUCUGAAAAUAUAUUGUACUACAUAAUACAGGCAGUGUAAAGUAGAAAAUGCAAGUGGUCUUCUCUAUUCAAACAGGAGACUACCAUGGUUGCAAAGCAAGGGUCAUUCAUGCAUCUUGAAAACAUUUUCUGAGCAGUCAAUUAAGAAAAAGUGACAAAGGGUUCAGUGGUAAGUGAAGGAGUGAGCAAGCUUACAAUGUUGGUUCAGAGGAUGUAAACUACUCUGUCUUUCAAUGCAGCAAUGAGAAGCAGCAAUCCUGAAAUAUAAUUUUCCACUUAGAUCCAAGGAUGUCAACUGUUUUAUGCAACAAGCUACAUAACUGCAUUAGUUCAUAAUAUAAACUAACUCCACAUACUCAAAUCAAGUGCCUGAAUGGGCAAAAGCUAGGAAAAAACACCCUUCUUCUACAGUUUAGUGGAGGCCAUGUCAUUGGUAUUCAGCACAGUCCAACUUAGAGCAAACUCUUACCAAAAUCUUACACUCCUGCUUUAUUACAAGAGUCUGUGUAUUCCAGACCUGCAUUGUCAGGAUCAUUUCAUGAGUCACUGAAAUGCAGGCACUGCUGAAGAAAAGCAAACCCUUAACAAAGCAAUAUAUUAGCUGUAAACAGACAAGUGUGAGACUCCAAGGAGACAAAAGCAAAAGGAGUGACCAUGACACUGAAGCUCUGCUUAAAUGAAUUCACAGAAAAUUGCCUCAUUUCUCCUUUUUCCACAGCAUAAAUGAAGCAAGUUGCAAUGUUUUCCACAGUUCAGCUCCCCCAUUUGAAUAUACAGACAACACACACAACCAGGCCAGAGUCAGCAGACACAUCCAGAUCAGUCUGAUCAGUCCAUGUUCCAGGGAAAAACACGUGGAUUGAAUUCCAGGGCAGAAAGUUGGUAUAAUGUCACUCAGUUCAAGCCAGACAGUUCUCAAAACAAGGACCCUCCCUGUAGUUUCCUGUAAGAUUGCACCUCAGCUGAGCCUUUUGUGAAUACUGAAUGCUGUAGAAGCAAGAAGCCACCCUUUGCCCCACAGGUGCUGAGUGCUGGUGCUGAGUUAUCCACAGAGUGGAUCCCAUUAUGUCAGAGGGUGAUUAUCUCAUUGUUCUCUCCAUUAAGGCUACAAAUAGCACUAAUCCAUAGUGCCAACCCACGACCAUGCAGAAGUACUGGGGUCAUUUGCAUACACCUAAAUUAGAAUUCUUUUUCUUAAUGCAAUGUCUCUCUCCUAACCUCUUUCAUACUUGUGGUAGAUGGGAUUUCAGGAACUUGUAUAUGUGACAACAAUACACCAAGGAAAAUAAAACAUGAAAAGCCAUGCUUAGAUUUAUUUAU
rnacentral:lncRNA from 1 species